rnacentral:rRNA from 1 species
UAACGCGUAUGCAAUCUGCCUUCCACAGAGGGAUAGCCCAGAGAAAUUUGGAUUAAUACCUCAUAGUAUAGCCAAACCGCAUGGCUUUGGCUAUUAAAGUCACAACGGUGGAAGAUGAGCAUGCGUCCCAUUAGCUAGUUGGUAAGGUAACGGCUUACCAAGGCUACGAUGGGUACGGGUCCUGAUAGGGAGAUCCCCCACACUGGUACUGAGACACGGACCAGACUCCUACGGGAGGCAGCAGUGAGGAAUAUUGGUCAAUGGGCGCAAGCCUGAACCAGCCAUGCCGCGUGCAGGAUGACGGUCCUAUGGAUUGUAAACUGCUUUUGUACGGGAAGAAACACUCCGACGUGUCGGAGCUUGACGGUACCGUAAGAAUAAUGAUCGGCUAACUCCGUGCCAGCAGCCGCGGUAAUACGGAGGAUCCAAGCGUUAUCCGGAAUCAUUG